GGACUAGUUAGCAUGACAUUCACAAUACCAAUGUAUAAUGCUUCGAGGCUUCACGUGAAAUACUUGCAGAUAGCAAAGAAAUCUAGUUCAUAUAAUCUAUAUUGAUGGGUGAGAUAUGUUACUCAGGCCAAUUCAUAUGUUGCUCGAAUAUGAUAGGUUAUGAAACUUGAGUAGAGUACAAUCAUUGAACAGGUCUAGCUCC